UGUAAGACUAAGAUUAGAGUUUAGUACCCUCUGUGGGAGGUACCUUGCAGAAUACAAUGGGUUUUUUGUUGAAAGCCCAGGUUGAAGAUGACAUGGUGGGAGACUGAAAUUUACCAGAGCUAAAAUUCAAUCUUGACUCAGCAAAUCAGUAAUUGGAGUAACAUGGUCAGCCACCAUUUUGUCUGUGCAAUGGGAGCAUGGUAAACCCUCUCUGAAAUAACUUAACAUCUGAAGUCUCUAUGACUUAGUAUACAUAAUGUUCAGCAUUCAAUUAAAAUUUACUAGGCACGCCAAAAGGCAGGACCACAUGGCUAAAAACUCAAGAGAAAGAGGACAGUAUUGAUUCAGAUGUUGAAGUUAUCUGACAAGAACUGACAAUUAAUUAUCAUUGUAUGUUUAAAAGGAAAAGACAGACACAUUGAUGAAAAGAUGGGAUCCAGUGCUAUCUCUUCCAUGCAGCUUUCUUCAGUCUUCCAUUCUGGAAGUCACCUUUUCCUCCUCCACAUGAUCCUGAAAGUUUGUCUAUACUUAGUAUUGCCACUUGCCACCUUACAAGUAGUACCUUGUAAGUGGUGAAAAGCAUGGAGGUUCUGAGGACACACUGGGUUCAAAUUCAAGAUCAGCUACUUGCUAACUGCAUAAACUUGGGAGCUUCUUGAAGUCAGCUGUUGGAUGCUGAUUGUGUGUGAUGUGUAAGCAAAAGUGUGCAAAUCUGAGGAUCCCUGUGCGUGUCUACAGGACUGGUCUCCCUGCGCUUGUUUGAAUGAGACCCAGAGCAGCUGCAGCUCCGUGGUGCUGAAGAGCCUGGGCAGGCUGACAGCCAUUCUUCUCUCUAAUAGCAACGAGUGUGAACUGACCUGGCGAUUCCUCUGUCUCUGUUGCCAGCAUGGCCAGAAGGCACUCACUGCACAGGCAGCUGGCCAGUCCUGAGCUGGGGGCAGCUAACUGGGCCACACUGCCCUGGGCUCACAACCCGCUGACUGGCUCAGGAACAUGGGGCUUUGCCAUUAGAAAAGGCUACAACUAGGACACCCCGAAGAUAGCAUCUUUUGGACAGGUAAUACACGGACCUGGUACAAAUCAGGAUGACCUCCCUCUGUCGUCUCCCACCUGGAUCCGUGUCUAUUGCCAGACUCCUGUGUAACACUUCCAACAGUGGCAUACAAUGGUGGUUAAUGGGAGAGAGAGGGUACAGGCAAUAAGAGGAUGCCCUGCUUUGGAGAAUUUAAAAACAGUAACAAAAUUGACAAGUCAGUCUGCUGCUUAUUAUCACCAAGGCUGACAAUUUAAGCAGUGUCAGUGAUGAAAUGCUCCUCCCUGAGAGCGCUACACAAUGGCAGCCUCCUUGUUGUCCCUGACACAGGGGGGUUCAGGCACAGGUGCUCCCUUUGACAGUAAGUCUGUGACACGUUGGAAUUACCCCAGCUCCCGUCAACACGUUUUGUGUCUCCAAACCCAGUGAUACUAUACAUUCCUGCAUUUAAACAUCUUCGAAAUUAAGCAAUGAUAGAAGCGACUGACUGAACGAAGAAACAGAACGUGGAUUAUUUCAAUUGUAUUUGACCACAAAGAGUUUGCAUUGAUGCUGAAAAGUGAAGACCAUGAAACAGAUGGCAAACUGUGUGGUGUCAUAUUUUUAUGUGCAAAUUCUAGGGCAUCCAUGAGCAAUUCUACUGAAUUUGAAGAUCAUUAAAAUUAAAAUGUAUUCUUUAUGAGAACUGUUCAUUGUUUGACCCUGAGAGUGAUGGUCCCCCUUGAGUCUGUGCCUUACCUGCCCAUGUGCCUCGUACUAUGGAAACCAAGCAGCGUAUAUGCUUAGUCCCUCUGAACUGCCACAGCCGGAGCUGUGACACUUGGCCUAAGCUUGGCUCACCAUACGCAGCACAAUUCCACCUGGAGUUCUGAAUCCGGAACAAGUGACUCAGAGAUGCUGAGACCGUUGAGAAUCCAUUCCCGUGGGAGUGGUGAUGGCAGCACAGAGAUGUCUAACCAGACCCUUUCCAUCCUGUGAUUUUUGGCUGUACAUUUGGCCUUCUUACUUACCUUGAGUUUGGUUUGCUGGUCAAGCCUGAUUCCCUGAGCUUGCAGCUGACUCUCUGAGCUCCCUGGUACCCUCCUGCUAGUGAAUUCCUUCUCUGCUUGUUCCCAGAGGCGGUAUAUUUCUUCAGUCAAAAAUUCAUAAUAGUAUUUCUAAUUCAGAGGAAUAUUUUGAAGAUGAAUUUUGAAGCCCAUGACUCUUGGGUGCAGCAAAGAAGAGCCCUAAAACUGAGGAGCAGGGGCCUUAUUGCUAAUGUCAGAGCAUAUCCCCUAACUUGUCAAAGCCUAUCUCACAGCCUAACCAUCCAGAUCUUAGUAGGUCCAGCAAGACGAAAACCAGGGACUCUCUUGAUUAGAAAGACUUUCAUAAAGUUUAUGCCAUUUGAAAUAAAUUAGAGGCAAGUGCCAUUUUUAAAACAUUUAAUAAGAGUUGUGGUGAAGGCAAAAAAAAAUUUAGAAAUGAUAGAAAAACAGAAGGUAACUUGUCAAUAAAAAUCUGAAAGCCGAGUUAAAAAAUGUCUCACCCAACCAUUUAUUUUUGUUAAUUGCUUUCUCUGCUCUAAAUGCUCUUGGAUUAAAGGAAUGGAGAACUCAUCCAUAAGCCUCAGAUAAACAUUAAUUCAAUUGUAUGACACAGGAAUAGACAACAUUCAGCAAAAGCAUUCAAUACAAACUCUACUUAUUUCCAAAAUGAUUCUUAUUGAUCCCGUUCUUAUAUGCACUGUAGCUACAGCAAACACCUACCCUUGUGUUAACUUCUUUGACUUUUGAAUAAGUUCUUCUAAAU